CGUAGGUGGCAAGCGUUGUCCGGAUUUAUUGGGUUUAAAGGGUGCGUAGGCGGCCCUGUAAGUCAGUGCUGAAAUAUCCCGGCUUAACCGGGAGGGUGGCAUUGAUACUGCAGGGCUUGAGUAAAGUUGAGGUAGGCGGAAUUGACGGUGUAGCGGUGAAAUGCUUAGAUAUCGUCAAGAACACCGAUAGUGUAGACAGCUUACUAAGCUUUAACUGACGCUGAGGCACGAAAGUGUGGGGAUCGAAACAGGAUUAGAUACCCUGGUAGUCCACACUGUAAACGUUGAAGACUCGCUGUUGGCGAUACACAGUCAGCGGCUGAGAGAAAUCGUUAAGUCUUCCACCUGGGGAGUACGCCGGCAACGGUG
rnacentral:rRNA from 1 species